CCACAAUGGAAAGGAGUCUAUCACCUCUCAAAAGUGAUGGGCACGUUAUUGAGGAAAGCUUAAUCUGGGUUGUAGAAGAGUCUAAAUAACCAUUGCUGCUUAAUACUGAUGGUGAUGAAGAUGAAAACACACCUACCCUGUAAGGGUUUUCUCAGCGCCAAGCACUAUCUAAGUGGUACCAACUCAGUCUUUACAGUGACCCUGAGAUAGGUACUAUUAUCCUCACUUGACGUUUGAAGGACAGGCACUGUGAGGGUGAGAAACUCGCUUAGGGACACAUAGCCCGUGUCCCUCCCUCGUGGCCUCCUCCGACUGCCUCUCAUCUCUUCAGAGACUCUUCAUAGCCCCCUUCUCUAUGCUUCCAGGCUCGGCUCCCAUCACACCUUCAGCAUAUGCGGAAGGGCUGGUCAUUUCCCCUUUAUCCCUCAACUCUCCUCCGUGAGGCCCCGAGUGCCUCCAUUCCAGAAAUGUGAGGCUCAAAUGUGCCUUUGCCCAGCCCUGCCUUUGUGUUCUCGUGGGAAGUUAUGAGCGUGGGACAGGUGUUAGCCAACAAGAGGGAGAUGGUCCCCUAAAGCUCUGUACAUUACAAGAACACAAGCAGUACUACCUGAGGAUUCCUGCAAAGUCAAGCAUCUUUUGUCAAGAUCAAGUACCAUGGAGCUUGAACAUCUUAAUGUUACUGACCCACGUUCUUGGACUCUUUGACCAGUAAAAAUUGAUCAGAGGCCAGGCGUGGAAUUCAGGCAAAACUUCACUGGGACACCCACUGCUGCACAAGGAAGUGAAAACCAGUAACAGGUGCCCCCGCUAGCUCCCCAAGGUGGUGCAAGAUGGUCCCUAAAAUGGGGUGAGGAUGGGAGCAGAUUGGGUCGGCCGGGGCGGGGGGCGGGAUGGCGCACGUGGUGUGCUGGCCCUCUUGGUGGUGCCAUGUGCAGAGGUCACGCGCAGAUUCCCUGCUUUUGCUCCCGGCACUUCAGAAGUGGAAGUUGCUGUUUGGGCCUUUUUGUAUCUUCUUGUUCAUAAUUUGCCCCCAGCCAUACAUGCACACAGUCACUUUUUGUCCUUUAUAGUUUCUUUUAUUUUGUUACCGGAGGAGACAUUUGUCCAGAGGUGAGCACUGCAGCAAAGGGUCCCAAGUCCCAGCCUGUCUCAUGAAGGGCCCCAUUCCUGACCCUUUUCUGCCUCCAAUCUUGCCAAUUCAUCAGUAUCUUAUAUCUUUAAAUAGCAUUAGCCACCACCUGUCACCCAUUCCUACUGUGAAAACAUUCACCCACUCAUGACCUUCGACUUAGGCCCAGGCAACACUUCUCAGCCGUGACUGCUUGUUGGAAUCAUCUGGGGAGCUUGCAAUACCGAAGCCUGGGUCCCGCCUUCAGGGAUUCUGAUUUCAUUGGUGUGGGGAUACAUCCUGGGCAUCAGGCUCUUAAAACUUGCCAGGUGUGAGGGAUAUGGGAAGGUAAUAAAAGCCAUUAUAGUCAGAGCCCUUCCUAGCUCUUUCGGAUUCUGAAGUUUGGAGUUUGGCUCCACCUUGCUCUGUGUGAGACAGCGUCUAAUCUCAGAGAGAUGGCUCCCUGGGAGGCUGGCUGCAUUUAGAACUUCAUCCAAGCUGCUUUCUGGGAUAAAAUGAAGUCUGUGAAGCAUCACCUGGGAUUUUAUUCCAAGUUUUACAUUCGUUUGCAGAAUGAAGAUUUGUUUCGCACACUGCUGGGGACCCACUGAGUUCUACCAUCCUCUCCAUGUUGGCUUCAUAUGUAUCUUCCACAAAUGACUGCGUCUGUGAAGCUGUGUGAGAUGACUGCAAGCAGCCCCAGCAUGAAGCUCACCACCCUGGAAUUGUGCUCCUCAACGAGAGGAGUGGGAGGGGGUGUACCCCCUAGAAAGCAUCUUGGAAAUUUGUGGGGAUAGUUGGGGUUGUCACGGUGAUGGUGGGGAGCUACUGUUUGAAUUUCAUGCUAGACAUCCUACGGACCAUGGGGCACUCCUAUACAAAGAAGAGUUCUUAUGUUCUAUGCCAGUUUCUAAUGUCCCACUGGACAUUCAUGUAGGUAGAGAGCCUAUUUGUAAUGAACUGAGCCUAGACUUAACCCCGUUUUAUAUAUAAAGCCGUUUGCACAGUCAUCUUUAAUUGAGUAUACAUAACAUAAUGACAUAACUUUAGUGUCAGGCAUACAGUAUAAUGUUUCAAUACCUAUAUACAUUGUGAAACGGUCACCACAAUGUCUAAUUAAGUUCUAUCACCACACUGAGUUACAUAUUUUUUUCCUUGUAAUGAGAACUUUUAAGAUCUAUGCUCUUAGCCACUUUCAAGUAUACAAUAUAGUAUUAUUAACUAUAGUCACCAUUGUAUUAUAUUCCUAUGAUUUAUUUUAUAACUGGAAGAUUUUAUCUUUUGAUCUCUUUCACCCAUUUUGUCCACUGUCCAACCCCUACCUCUGACAACCACCACCUGCUCUGUAUCUAUGCACUUGCUGUGCUGCGCUUAGUUGCUCAGUCGGGUCCUACUCCUUGCAACCCCAUGGACUAUAGCCCGCCAACCUCCUCUGUCCAUGGGGACUCUCCAGGCAAAAACACUGCAAUGGGUUGCCAUUCCAUUCUCCAGAGGAGCUUCCCAAUCCAGGGAUCAAACAGGUUUCCUGCGUUGCAGGUGGAUUCUUUACCAUCUGAGCCACCAGGGAAGCCCAUCUAUGUGCUUAGUGUUUUUUUUCCUUUAAAUUUCAUAAAUAAGUGAAAGCAUAUGGCCUUUGUUCCUCUGACUUAUCUCGUUGAGGGCACACUGCCCUCAAGGUCCAUCCAUGUUGCCACAAUGACAAGAUACCCUUCCUUUUUUAAGGCUGAAUAUUAUUGGUCUUGUUGGGCAGAUCCCCUGGAGAAGGGAAAGACUACCCACUCCAGUAUUCUGGCCUGGAGAAUUCCAUGGACUGUACAGUCCAUGGGGUCACGAAGAGUCAGGCACGACUGAGUGACUUUCACUUUCACAUUAUUGCUCUGUGUGUACCACAUCUUUUUAUCUGCACAUCCACCGAAGCGCACGUCCAUAUUUUGACUAUGGUAAAUAAUGCUGCAGUGAGUAUGGGGGUGCAUAUCUUUUCAAGUUAGUUUUUUGUUUCCUUUGGAUAAAUGCCCAGAAGUAGAAUUGCCACAUUUAUAAGGUAGCUCUGUUUUUAAUUUUUGAGGAACUUCAUACUAUUUUCCAUAGUGGGUUAACAAGUUUACAACCCCACCAACAGUUCAAAAGGCUUCUCUUCUCCACGUCAUCAUGGACACUAUUGUCUCUCUGAUGAUAAGCAUCCUAACAGAAGUGAGGCGAUCUCUCAUUAUGGCUUUGCAUUUCCCUGGUUAGUGAUAUUGAAGAUGUCUUCAUGUACCUGUUGACCAUCUGUGUGUCUUCUUUGGAAAAGAAGGUCCUCUGCCCAUUUUUUAAAUCAGAUUAUUUUUUGCUCUUAAGUUGUAUGAGUUCUUUAUAUAAUUGCAGUAUGAACCCCUUACCAGACAUAUGAUUUGCAAUUAUUUUCUCCCAUUUGGUAAGUUGCCUUUUCAUUUUAUUGAUAUUUUCCUCUGCUGAGCAGAAGCUUUUUAGUUUGAUGCAGUCCCACUUACUUACCUGCUUUGGGUGUCACAUCCAGAAAUUAAUUGCCAAGAUCAAUGUCAGGGAGCUUACAGCCUAUGUUUUCUUCUAGGAGUUUUAUGGUUUCAGGUCUUUUAAGUUUUUAAUCCAUUUUUGGUUAAUUUGGAGUGUGGUGUAAAUUAGUGGUCCAGUUUCAUUCUUUUGCACAUGGCUGUCCAGUUCUCCUAGCCUGAUGUAUUGAAGAGACUAUCCUUUCCCCAUUGGAUGUUCUUGGAUUCUUUGCCAUAAUUAAUUGACCAUAUAAAUGUGGGUUUAUUUAGGGCCUUGCUCUUCUGUUCCAUUGAUCUAUGUGUCUGUUUUUAUGCCAAUGCCAUACUAUUUUGAUUACUAGAACUUUAUAAUAUAGUUU
ensembl:lncRNA